UAUUGGACAAUGGGCGCAAGCCUGAUCCAGCAAUGCCGCGUGUGUGAAGAAGGCCUUCGGGUUGUAAAGCACUUUUAUCAGGAGCGAAAUCUGCAUGCUUAAUACGUGUGCAGUCUGACGGUACCUGAGGAAUAAGCACCGGCUAACUUCGUGCCAGCAGCCGCGGUAAUACGAAGGGUGCAAGCGUUAAUCGGAAUUACUGGGCGUAAAGGGUGCGUAGGCGGUUAGUUAAGCCUGUUGUGAAAUCCCCGGGCUCAACCUGGGAAUGGCAAUGGAUACUGGCUAGCUAGAGUGUGUCAGAGGAUGGUGGAAUUCCCGGUGUAGCGGUGAAAUGCGUAGAGAUCGGGAGGAACAUCAGUGGCGAAGGCGGCCAUCUGGGACAACACUGACGCUGAAGCACGAAAGCGUGGGGAGCAAACAGG
rnacentral:rRNA from 1 species